CCUACGGGGGGCUGCAGUGAGGAAUAUUGGGCAAUGCCCGCAAGGGUGACCCAGCAACGCCGCGUGGAGGAUGAAGGCCGUAAGGUUGUAAACUCCUGUUAGAGGAGAAGAAUAGUACCGAUUGGAUCGGUAUUUGACUGUACCCUCAGAGAAAGCCCCGGCUAACUACGUGCCAGCAGCCGCGGUAAUACGUCGGGGGCAAGCGUUGUCCGGAUUAACUGGGUGUAAAGCGGGAGAAGAAGUGAGAGCUGAAAUCCUAUAGCUUAACGGUAGAACUGCCUUUGAUACUGUUAGUCUUGAGUUCGGGAGAGAGAGACGGAAUUCCAGGUGUAGUGGUGAAAUACGUAGAUAUCUGGAAGAACACCAGUUGCGAAGGCGGUCUCUUGGUCCGAUACUGACGCUGAGGCGCGAAAGCGUGGGGAGCAAACAGGAUUAGAUACCCCAGUAGUC
rnacentral:rRNA from 1 species